rnacentral:rRNA from 1 species
GAUGAACGCUGGCGGCGUGCCUAAUACAUGCAAGUCGAGCGAACGGACGAGAAGCUUGCUUCUCUGAUGUUAGCGGCGGACGGGUGAGUAACACGUGGAUAACCUACCUAUAAGACUGGGAUAACUUCGGGAAACCGGAGCUAAUACCGGAUAAUAUUUUGAACCGCAUGGUUCAAAAGUGAAAGACGGUCUUGCUGUCACUUAUAGAUGGAUCCGCGCUGCAUUAGCUAGUUGGUAAGGUAACGGCUUACCAAGGCAACGAUGCAUAGCCGACCUGAGAGCGUGAUCGGCCACACUGGAACUGAGACACGGUCCAGACGCCUACGGGAGGCAGCAGUAGGGAAUCUUCCGCAAUGGGCGAAAGCCUGACGGAGCAACGCCGCGUGAGUGAUGAAGGUCUUCGGAUCGUAAAACUCUGUUAUUAGGGAAGAACAUAUGUGUAAGUAACUGUGCACAUCUUGACGGUACCUAAUCAGAAAGCCACGGCUAACUACGUG